CGGGGUUUCUCGCCUCCGGUCACAAUGGGACCUCUGUACCGCGCUGGGCUUGUUGGCCUGCGAUUAGCACACACCCAUCCCUGGGAACUGCUAGUCUGGAAAGCGGGGCUGCUUCUCCGGGAUGAGCCCGAGCCCUGCCAAGCCCCUCAAGGCAUUGAAGCUUUAGCUCACCUUAUCCGAAUGGUCAUUGGGCAUCUGGACUUGAGUUAACGACUGAAUUUUUCUGGGAAGCAAGGGACACGUUCUAAAAUAACCCCAGGAUCACUCUCCGAACUUGGCCUGAGUCUAGGCAAGCAGUGUUACUCGGUCGCCUUGAUCUUGGAGCUGCUGUGUACUGGGGACCUCAUACUAGUUGGGUUAACUAUAUUCCCAUUAGCAGUACGCGGGAUCGCAGUACUCGGGACAAGCUGAGUUCAGCUGCUAUGAGUAACACGAUCUGGAAAGACAGCGCUAGCAAGGAAUGAGGAGUGAUACAGUGACUGGAGGCUAAGAGAUAAUGUCUGCAAGUCACCUAAAACCAUUGCAGACACAGGGAGAUUGAUGGAUUUGGAGGACUUCUGGUUGUGAAGACUCUGACGAUUGCUAAAGAGUUAAGUGAAAUACUA
rnacentral:lncRNA from 1 species